AGCAUAUCAGAAGGCACACCCGGAGAACUGAAACAUCUUAGUACCCGGAGGAAGAGAAAGAAAAUUCGAUUCCCUUAGUAGCGGCGAGCGAAACGGGAAGAGCCCAAACCAACAAGCUUGCUUGUUGGGGUUGUAGGACACUCUGUACGGAGUUACAAAGGACGACAUUAGACGAAUCAUCUGGAAAGAUGAAUCAAAGAAGGUAAUAAUCCUGUAGUCGAAAAUGUUGUCUCUCUUGAGUGGAUCCUGAGUACGACGGAGCACGUGAAAUUCCGUCGGAAUCUGGGAG
rnacentral:rRNA from 1 species